rnacentral:rRNA from 1 species
GACGAACGCUGGCGGCGUGCUUAACACAUGCAAGUCGAGCGGUAAGGCCCUUUCGGGGGUACACGAGCGGCGAACGGGUGAGUAACACGUGGGUGACCUGCCCCUCAGCUCUGGGAUAAGCCUGGGAAACCGGGUCUAAUACUGGAUAUGACUCCAUGACGCAUGUUGUGGGGUGGAAAGCCUUGUGCGGCUGAGGAUGGGCCCGCAGCCUAUCAGCUUGUUGGUGGGGUGAUGGCCUACCCAAGGCGACGACGGGUAGCCGGCCUGAGAGGGCGACCGGCCACACUGGGACUGAGACACGGCCCAGACUCCUACGGGAGGCAGCAGUGGGGAAUCUUGCGC